rfam:Tncultured Thiohalocapsa sp. PB-PSB1 scaffold_1927, whole genome shotgun sequence.
GAAGUCCCGCCUGGGUAAUCGUGAGCCGCGAGCCCAGUAUCGAGCCUUGCGGCGUUGCUGGUAACAGCGGCGUCGAUGCGUAGGCCAGAUAAGCAGGCGAGGUGCGCGGUUACGGGUUAUGCCGGCCCUGAAGGUGUUGAGCCCCGAAAAUUUAGUCGGAGAGUGCCGACGGGUUUGUCCCCCCGGCAGGCAACAAUCCGUGUCGCGCUCUGGCGAGCGGCAUGGGUACUCCCCGGGGUCCUAGGCCG